rnacentral:rRNA from 1 species
UACGUAGGCAGCGAGCGUUGUUCGGAAUUACUGGGCGUAAAGAGUGUGUAGGCGGUGUUCCCAGUCUGUUGUGAAAUCUCCCGGCUUAACUGGGAGGGUGCAGCGGAAACUGGAAUGCUCGAGUAUGGGAGAGGUAAGCGGAAUUCCUGGUGUAGCGGUGAAAUGCGUAGAUAUCAGGAGGAACACCUGUGGUGUAGACAGCUUACUGGACCAUCACUGACGCUGAGACACGAAAGCGUGGGUAGCAAACAGG